UAAAAAUUUUAUUUAAUAAUUUUAUUGAUUAUAUUAUAGAAAAAAACUAUUGUUCUAUGUUCAUACAUGGAUAUAUUUUUCUUAGCAGGAAAACGCAUCUUUUGAUCCCAUUCAACUUUCGAUUAUUUCAGAAGCGACAGGCUCAUACCGCAUCAUUAAGCGUAAUUCUAUUCAUUUUUUUCCGGACAACAAAAAAAAGACAGUAUGGCUUUCAAUGUAGCAGCCGACUUAAUUAUACGGUUGCACGAGCAGAAGAAAAGAGAUUUUAAAUGAAAUUAAAUCAUGCAUCCGUGCAAAGGAUUCACAGAAACAGUCAUAUAGCGUAAAUAAAUCACGUUGUCUCUUUGAAUAAAAAGAUUACGAUGAAUUGGUUUCAUAAGUUUAUCAUUGAUUGAUAUUAAGUAUCUUUCAUGAUAAUUUUAUUUUUUCAAGCAUAAAGUAUAAAUGUAAUAACACCUGAUGAUAUAAUAAUAACCACAAUAUACAUAUAAAUA